UACGUAGGGAGCAAGCGUUGUCCGGAAUCAUUGGGCGUAAAGCGCGCGUAGGUGGCCUCAUAAGUCCGUUGUGAAAGUCAAAGGCUCAACCUUUGAAAGCCGAUGGAUACUGUGAGACUAGAGUUCGGAAGAGGCGAGUGGAAUUCCCGGUGUAGCGGUGAAAUGCGCAGAUAUCGGGAGGAACACCUAUGGCGAAGGCAGCUCGCUGGGACGUUACUGACGCUGAGACGCGAAAGCGUGGGGAGCAAACAGG
rnacentral:rRNA from 1 species